rnacentral:rRNA from 1 species
CGCUACAGCCUGACUUUAUACCCACCCUUUGCCUAUGUGUACCCCUAUUGCUUCCCUCGGCGGGUUCGCCCGCCGACAGGAACCAACUAAACCCUUUGCAUUAUACAUUUAACACUUCCGAUACAAAACUAAAUUAUUACAACUUUUAACAAUGGAUCUCUUGGUUCUGGCAUCGAUGAAGAACGCAGCGAAAUGCGAUAAGUAGUGUGAAUUGCAGAAUUCAGUGAAUCAUCGAAUCUUUGAACGCACAUUGCGCCCCUCGGUAUUCCGUGGGGCAUGCCUGUUCGAGCGUCAUUUACACCCUCAAGCUCUGCUUGGUGUUGGGCGUCUGUCCCGCCUCCGUGCGCGGACUCGCCUCAAAGUCAUUGGCAGCGGUCUCGUCGGCUUCUCGCGCAGCACAUUUGCGCUUCUCGGAGCCCCGGCGGAUCAGCGUCCAGCAAGCAAUUUCAUGACUUGACCUCGGAUCAGGUAGGGAUACCCGCUGAACUUAAGCAU